rnacentral:rRNA from 1 species
CUACGGGCCGCAGCAGUGGGGAAUAUUGCACAAUGGGCGCAAGCCUGAUGCAGCCAUGCCGCGUGUAUGAAGAAGGCCUUCGGGUUGUAAAGUACUUUCAGCGGGGAGGAAGGGAGUAAAGUUAAUACCUUUGCUCAUUGACGUUACCCGCAGAAGAAGCACCGGCUAACUCCGUGCCAGCAGCCGCGGUAAUACGGAGGGUGCAAGCGUUAAUCGGAAUUACUGGGCGUAAAGCGCACGCAGGCGGUUUGUUAAGUCAGAUGUGAAAUCCCCGGGCUCAACCUGGGAACUGCAUCUGAUACUGGCAAGCUUGAGUCUCGUAGAGGGGGGUAGAAUUCCAGGUGUAGCGGUGAAAUGCGUAGAGAUCUGGAGGAAUACCGGUGGCGAAGGCGGCCCCCUGGACGAAGACUGACGCUCAGGUGCGAAAGCGUGGGUAGCGAAUGGGAUUAGAUACCCUCGUAGUC